rnacentral:misc_RNA from 1 species
ACUGCGUAUUUUUUAUGUUCAAACACUGACAUUAGUUUCCUUGUGCAUGUGAUAGUUCACGCACGCAUAGUCUCUCAUUUCUCGCGUUUCAUAUUAUCUCCGCGAUUAAUUGUGUAGCUUUAUCCCGUACUUGAUGAGCACAGUCUUCAUAUCUAUUAGAUUGUGUUUGUUAGCAUUGUCAUAUUUUGUUGAUUUUUAUUCCUUGAGAUAAAUAAUUUUUCUCUGAAUGUAACUUGUAC